rnacentral:rRNA from 1 species
UACGUAGGGGGCAAGCGUUGUCCGGAAUCAUUGGGCGUAAAGCGCGUGUAGGCGGCCCGGUUAGUCCGCUGUGAAAGUCGGGGGCUCAACCCUCGAAUGCCGGUGGAUACUGUCGGGCUAGAGUGCGGGAGAGGCGAGUGGAAUUCCUGGUGUAGCGGUGAAAUGCGCAGAUAUCAGGAGGAACACCAAUUGCGAAGGCAGCUCGCUGGAACGUAACUGACGCUGAGACGCGAAAGCGUGGGGAGCAAACAGG